rnacentral:rRNA from 1 species
CGCUAUCUACAGGCUUAACACAUGCAAGUCGAGGGGCAUCAGGAAGAAAGCUUGCUUUCUUUGCUGGCGACCGGCGCACGGGUGAGUAACACGUAUCCAACCUGCCCUUUACUCGGGGAUAGCCUUUCGAAAGAAAGAUUAAUACCCGAUGGCAUAAUGAUUCCGCAUGGUUUCAUUAUUAAAGGAUUCCGGUAAAGGAUGGGGAUGCGUUCCAUUAGGUUGUUGGUGAGGUAACGGCUCACCAAGCCUUCGAUGGAUAGGGGUUCUGAGAGGAAGGUCCCCCACAUUGGAACUGAGACACGGUCCAAACUCCUACGGGAGGCAGCAGUGAGGAAUAUUGGUCAAUGGGCGCUAGCCUGAACCAGCCAAGUAGCGUGAAGGAUGAAGGCUCUAUGGGUCGUAAACUUCUUUUAUAUAAGAAUAAAGUGCAGUAUGUAUACUGUUUUGUAUGUAUUAUAUGAAUAAGGAUCGGCUAACUCCGUGCCAGCAGCCGCGGUAAUACGGAGGAUCCGAGCGUUAUCCGGAUUUAUUGGGUUUAAAGGGAGCGUAGGUGGACUGGUAAGUCAGUUGUGAAAGUUUGCGGCUCAACCGUAAAAUUGCAGUUGAUACUGUCAGUCUUGAGUACAGUAGAGGUGGGCGGAAUUCGUGGUGUAGCGGUGAAAUGCUUAGAUAUCACGAAGAACUCCGAUUGCGAAGGCAGCUCACUGGACUGCAACUGACACUGAUGCUCGAAAGUGUGGGUAUCAAACAGGAUUAGAUACCCUGGUAGUCCACACAGUAAACGAUGAAUACUCGCUGUUUGCGAUAUACAGUAAGCGGCCAAGCGAAAGCAUUAAGUAUUCCACCUGGGGAGUACGCCGGCAACGGUGAAACUCAAAGGAAUUGACGGGGGCCCGCACAAGCGGAGGAACAUGUGGUUUAAUUCGAUGAUACGCGAGGAACCUUACCCGGGCUUAAAUUGCAGUGGAAUGAUGUGGAAACAUGUCAGUGAGCAAUCACCGCUGUGAAGGUGCUGCAUGGUUGUCGUCAGCUCGUGCCGUGAGGUGUCGGCUUAAGUGCCAUAACGAGCGCAACCCUUAUCUUUAGUUACUAACAGGUUAUGCUGAGGACUCUAGAGAGACUGCCGUCGUAAGAUGUGAGGAAGGUGGGGAUGACGUCAAAUCAGCACGGCCCUUACGUCCGGGGCUACACACGUGUUACAAUGGGGGGUACAGAAGGCAGCUAGCGGGUGACCGUAUGCUAAUCCCAAAAGCCUCUCUCAGUUCGGAUCGAAGUCUGCAACCCGACUUCGUGAAGCUGGAUUCGCUAGUAAUCGCGCAUCAGCCACGGCGCGGUGAAUACGUUCCCGGGCCUUGUACACACCGCCCGUCAAGCCAUGGGAGCCGGGGGUACCUGAAGUACGUAACCGCAAGGAUCGUCCUAGGGUAAAACUGGUGACUG